rnacentral:rRNA from 1 species
UACGUAGGAUCCAAGCGUUGUCCGGAUUUACUGGGUGUAAAGGGUGCGCAGGCGGACUGGUUAGUCUGGGGUGAAAUCUCAUCGCUUAACGGUGAAACUGCCUUAGAUACUGCCAGUCUUGAAUCAGCGAGAGGUUCGUGGAAUUCCGAGUGUAGCAGUGAAAUGUGUAGAUAUUCGGAAGAACACCAGUGGCGAAGGCAGCGAACUGGCGCUCGAUUGACGCUCAGGCACGAAAGCAUGGGGAAUCAAACAGGAGUUAGA